rnacentral:tRNA from 1 species
UGGAUCGUAUCGGAUGGUUAUGCGGCGGGAGCUGACUGUAAAUCAGCCGCCUUAUGGCUUCGCAGGUUCGAGUCCUGCCUCCCCCACCA